UUCUCCCGGAGGCGCAUGAUGUCCUCGGCCAGGUUGUCGCGCUCCACCUCGACGCGGGCUUUGUCGUUGGUUAGCUGGUCCACCUGCCGGCGCAGCUCCCGCAUCUCCUCCUCGUAGAGGUCCCCCAGGCGCGACUUGCCUUGGCCCUUGAGCUGCUCGAGCUCGGCCAGCAGGAUCUUAUUCUGCUGCUCCAGGAAGCGCACCUUGUCGAUGUAGUUGGCGAAGCGGUCAUUCAGCUCCUGCAGCUCCACCUUCUCGUUGGUGCGGGUGUUCUUGAACUCGGUGUUGAUGGCGUCGGCCAGCGAGAAGUCCACCGAGUCCUGCAGGAGCCGCACCCCGGGCACGCUGCUCCGCAGGCGCACGGCAGAGGAGCGCGUGGCAUACACGCCGCCCGGGGACGAGGCGUAGAGGCUGCGGCUGGUGCUGGGGCGCAGCGCGCUGCCCAGGCUGUAGGUGCGGGUGGACGUAGUCACGUAGCUCCGGCUGGAGCUCGGCCGGCUCGCGGUGCCCGGGCCGCCGAACAUCCUGCGGUAGGAGGACGAGGACACGGACCUGGUGGACAUGGCUGCGGAGGGUGGCGAUGGCCUGGGCGGCGGCGGUGGCGCGGACUGGCUCCCGGAGAAGAGGCGAACGAGGGCGCGACAGCAAAGCUCCCUUUGGAUGACAUAGAUUUAUUACUUAGUAGUAUAUUAUGUAUUGGCUGUCCCACAUUUUGAAAUUUAAUGGACUCGUGGUGAUCAGAAUAAAAGAAGCCUUCGAUGUGAGGCCCAGGCAUUGAGUACCAUGUGUGCGAUUCACAAGCCUUGGCAUCUGAACAAUUUUUUGGAAGGAUCCAUCAGGACAACACGUCGGGGGUGUACUAGUGAAGUGAUUUUCCAAAUGUGCUACUCAGACCUGUAGCAUCAGCAUCACCGGAUA
rnacentral:lncRNA from 1 species